GACGAACGCUGGCGGCGUGCUUAACACAUGCAAGUCGAACGGUAAGGCCCUUCGGGUACGACGAGUGGCGAACGGGUGAGUAACACGUGGUGAUCUGCCCUGCACUUUGGGAUAAGCCUGGGAAACUGGGUCUAAUACCGAAUAUGACCAUGGACUUCACGGUUUGUGGUGGAAAGCUUUUGCGGUGUGGGAUGGGCCCGCGGCCUAUCAGCUUGUUGGUGGGGUAAUGGCCUACCAAGGCGACGACGGGUAGCCGGCCUGAGAGGGUGACCGGCCACACUGGGACUGAGAUACGGCCCAGACUCCUACGGGAGGCAGCAGUGGGGAAGUAUUGCACAAUGGGCGCAAGCCUGAUGCAGCGACGCCGCGUGGGGGAUGACGGGCCUUCGGUGUAACUCUUCUACCAGGACGGAAGCGAGAGUGACGGUACCGUGG
rnacentral:rRNA from 1 species